rnacentral:snRNA from 1 species
UGAGUUGGCAGAAGCUGAUAAUGAUGAAGCCCUCUUGAUAGAAGAAGGCAAGCAACAGAGCACAGAU